rnacentral:rRNA from 1 species
GACGAACGCUGGCGGCGUGCCUAAUACAUGCAAGUCGAACGGAGUGGCGAACGGGUGAGUAUUACGUGAGUAACCUGCCCUUAACUGUGGGAUAAGACUGGGAACCUGGGUCUAAUCCUGAAUAGUUGGGGUUGGCAUCUCGGCGUAUCAGCUUGUUGGUGGGGUGGUGGCCUACCAAGGCGGUGCCGGGUAGCCGGCCGGGGCGGGUGGUCGGCAACAGUGGGCGUGCGAUACGGCCCAGAGUCGUACGGGAGGCGGCAGUGGGAGAUAUUGGGCAAUGGGGGCAAGCCUGAUGCAGCGACGCGGCGUGGGGGAUGAAGGCUUUCGGGUUGUAAACCUCUGUCGGUACAGAACGGGUAUGUGCAGAAGAAGCGCCGGCUAACUACGUGCCAGCAGCCGCGGUAAUUC